rnacentral:rRNA from 1 species
UUGAAAGGGAAACGAUUGAAGUCAGUCGUACCGGUGGGUAAUCAGGCUUUCGGCGUGGUUAUGUGGAGCGUGAGGAGUUAAACGCCCUCAUGGCCUGAAUAUUCGUGUUCUUUGGGUGUACUUACCCGCAUGGUAGGUUAACAUCAAUUUCGAACGUCAUAAAAUGGUUGGAGGAAUGUAGCUUCGAUCUCGUAUUGAAGUGUUAUAGACUCCGGCAGAUGUGAUGAUCGGGAUUGAGGAUUGCAACGGAAUCCUUCGGGGCUACCCGUCUGAUCUCUGAAAGUUACUCUGGUGCCGAAAGCUCGCUUACGGUCAUCAAAGUUGACGUUCAACAGGUUAGAACGGGAUAAAUUCGUUAAGGAUGUUGACGUA